UACGGAGGGUGCAAGCGUUAUCCGGAUUCACUGGGUUUAAAGGGUGCGUAGGAGGGCAGGUAAGUCAGUGGUGAAAUCUUCGAGCUUAACUCGGAACUGCCGUUGAUACUAUCUGUCUUGAAUCCCGUGGAGAUGAGCGGAAUAUGUCAUGUAGCGGUGAAAUGCUUAGAUAUGACAUAGAACACCAAUUGCGAAGGCAGCUCGUUACACGAAGAUUGACUCUGAGGCACGAAAGCGUGGGGAUCAAACAGG
rnacentral:rRNA from 1 species